rnacentral:rRNA from 1 species
AUGGCCCGUGGAGACGAUCUACAUGCCAUCAAGUAUCUUCCCCUCAAGCUCAAAGGACCCGCCCAACACUGGCUAAACAGUCUGCCUGCAAAUUCCAUUGGCAGUUGGGAAAACCUGGAAGACGCAUUUCUUGACAACUUGCAAGGCACAUAUGUGCGACCUCCGGGUGCCGAUGACUUGAGCCACAUUACUCAACAGCCCGGAGAAUUAGCCAGGAAAUUCUGGACUCGGUUCCUAACUAAAAAGAACCAAAUAGUUGACUGUCCGGACGCUGAAGCCCUGGCGGCCUUCAAGCAUAAUAUCCGUGACGAGUGGCUCGCCCGACACCUCAGCCAGGAGAAACCCAAGUCCAUGGCAGCUCUCACGACAGUAAUGACCCGCUUUGCGCGGGCGAAGACAGCUGGUUGGCUCGCAGUAGCACUAUGCCACAUUCUGGCACUUCAGAUGUCCGGGGCAAUAAUGGCAAGCUAUGGCGCAACAGACACAAGCGACGGAAUAAUGGCGACAACACCGAAGACAUGGUGGUCAAUGCCGGAUUCAGCGGAUCCAAAUCCGGUCAGAGGAAGAAGCCAUUCAAAAGAAACAAUCAGGGACCGUCUAGUCUAG